UGCUGGAAAGCUAGCCCUAGUCGUGUAGAGAAGGGGGAGCCAGAUGGCUGACCAGCUCAGCUACUACCCAGGCCCAGUUUAGGACUCCUGAAUUGAUCCACUCCAAGUUCAAUAUAACCUGUGAGUCAUUGAGACAACUGAAAGAGCCAGUCCUACUAUCCCAAAGUUGCAGUAUCGUCAUGACACAGGACAACAGCAGGGUAAUCUGGAAGAGUCCUGAUGAGGAUCCAAUAUUAAUGGUGUCAUAGAAGGCAGAGAUCUUGAACCAGACAGUGACUCACUGCAAUGAACAUUUGCAAGUGCAAAGGAACAGAUUGGACUGCAUUAAAAUUCCUGUGUUUCUGGACUUCACAAUGUAUAUAGUUAAUGCUUUACAAAGAGUGUUCGCCAGCCUAGACAGAAGAGAAUGACCUGAAGGAGAACCACAAUCACAUGUUCUGAGUGCCUGCAACAGAGACUCAAACUUUUCUAGGACAGCUGUCUCAUUUCCAUCUGAUCUCUUGGAGUCUGCUUCUGGGUCAAUGUGGUGAUGUGUCAGCCAGAGCCCUCUUACUGUUCUACAGUUGCGUACAGCCUGCUUAUAUACCACAGUAUGGGAGUUCAAAUCAAUAUACCUUACAGUAUGGACAUAUAUGCGGCAUUGAGAAUUUCCAUCGCUUUCUGUGGUCUGACUGAUGAACUUAGAGAGCCCUACUGUGAAAUUGUUAAGAGAAGUACGGCCAAGCCUCCUCACUGGUGGGCUAACAUUGCCCCACCGUCCAGGAAGUUUUGGGUUUUUUUCCCCCUAUGUCUCACCUCAGCACUCUCCUUGUUUUCUAUAAGACUGUUCUGGUUUGGGGGAGUCCAGAGCAUUUGCUUAGGAUUACAGUGAGUUAGACAUCAAUGAAUACAGUGCCUAACAAUGGAAUUUAUCCCUCUGUCACUCCUCUACCUCAGGGAAGAUGCAUGCUUAGUUCUCACUUUGAAGUAGAGCCACAUGAUCUUAGGAAAAGCCGAGAUUUCCUUUCUCGAUCUUGUCUUUAAUCCAGAGUCAUUUUAGAUAAUAUAUACACUAGCUUCAAUCCUGACUCUAAAGGCUGCUCUUCCUAGGGCCUGAGUUAGGCUGGACAGUUCUGACCCUGCUCAUUGCAGCUUCCUUUACUCUGCUCAAAAGCUGAAAUAGGCAGGGAGACCCUCUACCCCCCACUCUUCCAAACACAUGCAGCCCAGAUUCCUGUACCUUGACUCUUCUGCUCCUACUCAGGGUUCCCCAAGAUCCAGUGCUGUUCCCACACACUUGCCACUCUAAGCGCUGUUCCCACAUGCUCUCUUUUUCCAGUGCAACUCCUACUCCUCUGGGAACUCGCUUUGUUCGGCUGUUAAUGAUGCUAAUCAGUAGUGGUACCUGCUGAACUAACAAUUUCACAGUUCAGUUUUCUUGGUAGAGGAAAUGUCCUGAGACAAUGUCUUACCCCAGAGGCAGACAAAGGAGAGAGAUAUCUUGUACACAGGUCAUGUUGACCCUGAGAUCAGCCAGCACUUUGGUUCCUCCGGUUUUAUUACAGUUGCUCUGCCUUGCCUACCACACUGGCUACUUCCUAUAGCAUAAACCACCCAUACAGUGACCUCAGCAGAAAGUGUUGAUGGCUACUAAGAUUCUGCACUGCCAGCUGUAACUCUGCCUCCAGAGUUCCUUCUUGCCCGCUUCAUACUUUAAAGCAAGCAGCUAUCACCCCAGAGGAAAGGGUAGUUUCUGAUUAUCAUUGUAAUCUGAUUUUUAGGAUGAAAUGUUUUCUUUUUCUUGGGAGCUGAAUGAAAUAAUUGCUACCCCCUAAGGAAACAUGCCAAGAAAGAUCACCCUAAGUGAGCGGAGGGUGUACUAUCUAGGGAUAGAGAGAAGGAACAGCAGGAGGGGCAGGUGAGUCAGUGCCUAGCAGUAAUGCUGUGUCAGUCUCAGAGGACAAUAGCCCAGUUAGGACAAUAGAGUCAUAGCAUGCUUUGAGCUACAAAAAGGAAGGAGUUGGGGGAAGGGGUGUAGUUCUUUUGCGUUGGAGUACUGUAUCACCCCCCUCAGGGCAAUCUGAACUUUUGUUUUCGAACAACCGAACAACCGGGAAUCAGGGAUGACAUAAGGAAGACAAAAAAAAAAAAAAAAAAAAAAAAAAAAAAAAAAAACUUGGCACCUCAGCAGGCUCAUCCCUGUAGCAGGAUAUGGGGUAAGGUGCCAGCACUUUUUCUUCCCUCUCUGAACUGAAGAGGUGCUGUGAGGGCAAAACUCACUGAACCAAGGUAAACUGCAGUGGCUAGAAGUGUGUCCCUAAAAUACCCCAAACAAGGGAAUGUCCGUGAGUGAGGACACCAACCUAAGACCAGCAAGACCAACAUGGCACCCUGGGGAACGUGGUUACCUGACAGUCUUAGCCCUGGCUGCACUCUCCACCACAAUGGCAUCUGUGCCCAGCUACCCCAAAACGAUUUGCAAAGGACCCUCUUCUCCCCAAGCAGAAAACAGAAAAGAAACAGAGAAAUACCUGGGUGGGGAAGUUCCAUCGGCUUUAAAGGAAAGGAAGUCCCUGAGAGAAAGGAAUAAUGAGCUUUAAAAGGGAGUAGAGGGGACUGGGAAGGGAAGCUUCACAAAUCAGAGCUGUGGGAUUAAAUGGCAAGAAGUACCCUUGUGACUGUAGCGGCUUUGGUGACAUUCUGAGACGACAAUAAGCAUGUGAGUGUUCUGUUACACAGCUGGACUCCCAGAAGCCUGCCUGGCUAUAUGUGCCACAACUUGCUCUUUGCAUCCUCUAAAGAGACAGCUUGAGAGAAGUCUGGGGUCAUUCUAGUCACGUGAUUGCAAAGAAGUACCGGGGUGGCGUCCUCCCUGGGUGGGUUGAGGGCACAGAGCAUGGUAGAGAGAUGGGAAUCACUCUGGUACUUUUCCAUCAAGAGCCAAUCACAAGCAGGAUUGAUUUCCUGUUGUAGGACAGACACAAUGACAGUGCCCUAUGAAAUGCACCUGCUUUUGUCAUUGGGAGUAUAUUUAGAAUUACUGUUGCUUUUCUUGACUCUCCUAGUAGUAAGGCAGCUUCAGAGAUACAGAUAAUAAUAUCUCUCUAUGUCAGAUAUCUCUUUAUAUGAGAUCUCUGUAUGUAAGAGAUCUCUGUAUGCAAGAUCUCUAUCUGUAUGUAAGCUACAGAGGGUGAAACAACAACAACAACAAAUCUCAGUUUUCUUAAAUGGCUCAUUCAAGGCCAUGAAUAAACUAAUAUAAGAAACAAGAAUUCCUCUAUGUUAAAGUUUUUAUUACAGUCUUCUAGUCCUACUGGAUAAAUCUUAUAUUGAGGGUAUCCUUAUGAAAAUAGCUAAUUUAUAAGGGUUUAUCCUGGUGUGAAAUUGAGGAGAAGGAGCCACAGUACUGUAUUCUAGAGGUAGGGUCCUCCUUGCCUCACAUAGGGAGAGAAAGGUCACUGGAAAGGAUCCCAGGUCAGUAAAAUCACGUGGUCAGUAGCUUUAACUGGAACAUUCUUUAAGUAGCAAUAAUACAAAGGGAAAGCCAGGGGAUAAGGUAAAAUAAAUUAUCAUAAAAUAAUCAGAGACAAGGUUGGGUAUAAGCCUAUUCAAACACAAACUUUUCAAAAAUGGGCAUUAGAAUAUUUUGUUCUCCAGAUAAAUUUCUCCCACUCAUUUCAGUUUCAACAUUUUCCCCCCUUCAGAAGCCCAAAAGAACUGAAGAAAUGUCCUUGCUAUACAUUAUAUGAAUGUUAGAAGAUAAAAUCGUGCUUUAAAAAAAUCCCAAUUUCCUUAAGUGUCCUCAUCCUUCCUUAAUAUUUGCAUAAAAUAAAUAAACAAAAGCAUUAGUCAUACAUCCACCAAUUGCAGGCUGGUUUCUUGGUCUCAUUCUUCAUCAUGGGCCACAUCUCAUGGUAAACGUCUCCAAGCUUGCAGUCAAACAUCAGUUCUUUUC